AUUGCUAUGAUGAAACACCAUGGUCAAAGGCAAGCUUGAGAAGACAGGGUUUAUUUGGCUUACACUUUCAUAUCAUAGCCCACUAUGACCUAUGUCCAUAGUCAGGACAGGAACUGAAACAGGGCAGAAACCUGGAGGCAGGAGCUGAUGCAGAGGUCACAGAAGAGUGCAUUGGCUGGCUUACCUCUCUCAUGGCUUGCUCAGUCUGCUUUCUUACACAGCCCAGGACCACCUGCCCAAGAAUGACACCACUCCUAGUGGGCCGUGUGCUCCCACAUUAAUCAUUGAUCAAGAAAAUGCUCCUAGAGUUGCUUACAAGACAAUCUGAUGGAGGGUCC
rnacentral:lncRNA from 1 species